GACGAAGGUGGCAAGCGUUGUUCGGAAUCACUGGGCUUAAAGCGCACGUAGGCGGCUCGCCAAGUGUCUUGUGAAAUCCCCCGGCUCAACCGGGGAAUGGCUGGGCAAACUGGCGGGCUUGAGGCAAGUAGGGGCGCGUGGAACUCUUGGUGGAGCGGUGGAAUGCGUAGAUAUCAAGAGGAACGCCGGUGGCGAAAGCGGCGCGCUGGGCUUGUCCUGACGCUGAGGUGCGAAAGCCAGGGGAGCAAACGGG
rnacentral:rRNA from 1 species